CUAAAGCCACUUGAGGAUUGUAAAUGAGAAACAUGCGUGUGGAAGACGGGCGGAUAGUUAGUCUUGGUUUUGAACCCAUUUCUAAAACCAAGCCUCCAACGCAACGAACGCAUCACAACCGGGUAUAAAAUCAGAUUUCUCCGUGUUCGACCAUGAAAGUGACACGGAUGUUUGUGCCCAGAUGCUGCGCUCCUUCACAUUAGGACGUCGCCGGAUGACUAAAUGGCCACCAUGCUCCAUGCGUCCGCUGUGGUCGUGUGGGAAUGGCUCAACGAACACGGGCGGUGGCGGCCCUACAGCCCGACCGUCUCCCACCACAUCGAGGCGGUGAUACGAAGCGAUCCCCGUGGUGGGAGCGUCGUGCUAGGCCAAGUCGACAACCGCCUCUCGCCCUACAUCCUAGACCUGCAGUCGAUGCACCAGUUCAGGCAGGACACAGGUAAGAAGACGAGAGCUGAGAGGUGGGAAUGGCUGUUGUUGUUGUGGGGAUGCCAAUGUGGUGUUUUUACGCGCCUGGUGUUGUUUGUGUAAGGCACGUGGAUGUAUAUAGGUGGAGAACGUUUGUGAAACAGCACAGUUUAAAAUAUAUGGCACA